rnacentral:rRNA from 1 species
UACGGAGGGUGCAAGCAUUAAUCGGAUUUAUUGGGCUUAAAGGGCGCGUAGGCGGGCCUGCAAGUCAGAUGUGAAAUCCCGGAGCUCAACUUCGGAACAGCAUUUGAAACUACAGGUCUUGAGGGUAGGCGGAGAAAACGGAAUUCCACAAGUAGCGGUGAAAUGCGUAGAUAUGUGGAAGAACAUCGGUGGCGAAGGCGGUUUUCUAGCUUAUUUCCUGACGCUGAGGCGCGAAAGCAAGGGGAUCAAACAGG